GACUCUCCGUGAUGAUUAUCCAAUCACCAUCUUUCGGCUGACUGUCUGAUGGACAUCUUAUUUACCUGAUGGGAGUC
rnacentral:snoRNA from 1 species